GGUCGGGAACCACUGGAACGGUGGCUAAUACCGGAUGUGCCGCAAGGUGAAAGAUUAAUUGCCUGAAGAUGAGCUCGCGUCUGAUUAGCUAGUAGGUGUGGUAAGAGCGCACCUAGGCGACGAUCAGUAGCUGGUCUGAGAGGAUGAUCAGCCACACUGGGACUGAGACACGGCCCAGACUCCUACGGGAGGCAGCAGUGGGGAAUUUUCCGCAAUGGGCGAAAGCCUGACGGAGCAAUACCGCGUGAGGGAGGAAGGCUCUUGGGUUGUAAACCUCUUUUCUCAGGGAAGAACACAAUGACGGUACCUGAGGAAUCAGCAUCGGCUAACUCCGUGCCAGCAGCCGCGGUAAUACGGAGGAUGCAAGCGUUAUCCGGAAUGAUUGGGCGUAAAGCGUCCGCAGGUGGCGGUGUAAGUCUGCUGUUAAAGAGUGAGGCUCAACCUCAUAAAAGCAGUGGAAACUACACAGCUAGAGUGCGGUAGGGGCAGAGGGAAUUCCUGGUGUAGCGGUGAAAUGCGUAGAGAUCAGGAAGAACACCGGUGGCGAAAGCGCUCUGCUAGGCCGCAACUGACACUGAGGGACGAAAGCUAGGGGAGCGAAUGGGAUUAGAUACCCCAUUAGGUCAAGGA
rnacentral:rRNA from 1 species